UGGGGAAUAUUGGACAAUGGGCGGAAGCCUGAUCCAGCCAUGCCGCGUGAGUGAAGAAGGUCUUCGGAUGGUAAAGCACCUUAAGUUGGGAGGAAGGGCAGUAAGCGAAUACCUUGCUGUUUUGACGUUACCGACAGAAUAAGCACCGGCUAACUCUGUGCCAGCAGCCGCGGUAAUACAGAGGGUGCAAGCGUUAAUCGGAAUUACUGGGCGUAACUCGCGCGUAGGUGGUUCGUUAAGUUGAAUGUGAAAGCCCCGGGCUCAACCUGGGAACUGCAUCCAAAACUGGCGAGCUGGGGUAGGGCAGAGGGUGGUGGAAUUUCCUGUGUAGCGGUGAGAUGCGUAGGUAUAGGAAGGAACACCAGUGGCGAAUGCAGCCACCUGGGCUCUUACUGACACUGAGGUGCGAUAGCGUGGGGAGCAAACAGG
rnacentral:rRNA from 1 species